AGAGUUUGAUCAUGGCUCAGAUUGAACGCUGGCGGUAUGCUUAACACAUGCAAGUCGAACGGUAACAGGCGGAGCUUGCUCUGUGCUGACGAGUGGCGGACGGGUGCGUAACGCGUGGGAAUCUACCUUUUAGUGGGGGAUAGCCCGGAGAAAUCCGGAUUAAUACCGCAUAAGCCCUACGGGGGAAAAGGGGCCUCUUCUUGAAAGCUCUUGCUAUUAGAUGAGCCCGCGUAAGAUUAGCUAGUUGGUAGGGUAAUGGCCUACCAAGGCAACGAUCUUUAGCUGGUCUGAGAGGAUGAUCAGCCACACUGGGACUGAGACACGGCCCAGACUCCUACGGGAGGCAGCAGUGGGGAAUAUUGGACAAUGGGCGCAAGCCUGAUCCAGCAAUACCGCGUGUGUGAAGAAGGCCUGAGGGUUGUAAAGCACUUCCAAUAGCGACGAAAAGCCUAGCGUUAAUAACGUUGGGUCUUGACUUAAACUAUAGAAGAAGCACCGGCUAACUCUGUGCCAGCAGCCGCGGUAAUACAGAGGGUGCAAGCGUUAAUCGGAAUUA
rnacentral:rRNA from 1 species